rnacentral:rRNA from 1 species
AUUGGGACUGAGACACGGCCCAAACUCCUACGGGAGGCAGCAGUAGGGAAUUUUCGUCAAUGGGGGGAACCCUGAACGAGCAAUGCCGCGUGUGUGAAGAAGGUCUUCGGAUCGUAAAGCACUGUUGUAAGUGAAGAAUGCCACAUAGAGGAAAUGCUAUGUGGGUGACGGUAGCUUACCAGAAAGCCACGGCUAACUACGUGCCAGCAGCCGCGGUAAUACGUAGGUGGCAAGCGUUAUCCGGAAUCAUUGGGCGUAAAGGGUGCGUAGGUGGCACGAUAAGUCUGAAGUAAAAGGCAACAGCUCAACUGUUGUAUGCUUUGGAAACUGUCGAGCUAGAGUGCAGAAGAGGGCGAUGGAAUUCCAUGUGUAGCGGUAAAAUGCGUAGAUAUAUGGAGGAACACCAGUGGCGAAGGCGGUCGCCUGGUCUGUAACUGACACUGAUGCACGAAAGCGUGGGGAGCAAAUAGGAUUAGAUACCCUAGUAGUCCACGCCGUAAACGAUGAGAACUAAGUGUUGGAGAGAUUCAGUGCUGCAGUUAACGCAAUAAGUUCUCCGCCUGGGGAGUAUGCACGCAAGUGUGAAACUCAAAGGAAUUGACGGGGGCCCGCACAAGCGGUGGAGUAUGUGGUUUAAUUCGAAGCAACGCGAAGAACCUUACCAGGCCUUGACAUGGAUAUAAAUGUUCUAGAGAUAGAAAGAUAGCUAUAUAUCACACAGGUGGUGCAUGGUUGUCGUCAGCUCGUGUCGUGAGAUGUUGGGUUAAGUCCCGCAACGAGCGCAACCCUUGUCUUCUGUUACCAGCAUUAGGUUGGGGACUCAGGAGAGACUGCCGGUGACAAACCGGAGGAAGGUGGGGAUGACGUCAAAUCAUCAUGCCCCUUAUGGCCUGGGCUACACACGUACUACAAUGGCGCCUACAAAGAGCAGCGACACCGCGAGGUGGAGCGAAUCUCAUAAAGGGCGUCUCAGUUCGGAUUGAAGUCUGCAACUCGACUUCAUGAAGUCGGAAUCGCUAGUAAUCGCAGAUCAGCAUGCUGCGGUGAAUACGUUCUCGGGCCUUGUACACACCGCCCGUCAAACCAUGGGAGUUGGUAAUACCCGAAGCCGGUGGCAUAACCGCAAGGAGUGAGCCGUCGAAGGUAGGACCGAUGACUGGGGUUAAGUCGUAACAAGGUAUCCCUACGGGAACGUGGGGAUG